rnacentral:lncRNA from 1 species
AAUCUGCUUUGUUUUUUGUUUGUUUCUUUAUUUUAUUUUAUUUUUUUAGUACCCGGGAUUGAACUCAGUGGUGAAACUACUGAGCUAAAUCCCUGGCCCUGUUUCCUUUUUAGAGACAAAGUGGCCUUGUUUGUUGCCCAGGCUGGUCCUGAACUCCUAGGCUCAAGUGAUCCUCUUCCCUCAGCCUCCUAAGUAACUGGGACUAUAGACAUGCAAUACCAUACCUGCUUGGAAAUCUGCAUUCUUAUGAGCAGCACAGAAGAGUGUAAUGCAGGGUCAUUAGAACACACUUUAAACAACACUGCAGAGCCGGGGAGCCCUCCAAGUGCCGAGCCACCCUACUGCGACCUGCCCCGAUGCCCGCCUGCCCCUGAGGACACGCUCAGCACCGAAACCUCCACCUUCCAGCCUGUGGUGGGCCCGGGCCUCAGGCAGGGGUCUGAAAGGGUCUUGUCCUCCAUAGCAGGGCUUUCUGACCAGGGCCCCACAGCUGUUCCCAGGAGUGGGCACGGGGGGCUUGAGGCAGUGCUCAAUUUGGAAAGCCCAGCCUCCUCUCUGUGUGACAGUUGUGACAAGAGCCCCAACUCUGACACCAGCUCCGGCCCUGACAGUGACAUCCCUGAUGAUACCAGCAACUCGUCUUCUGUGGUGAGCUGGGGGCGAGAGACAGGGCCAGGAUAACAAGAGGAGCUCAUGCCUCCAUCCCUAGUCCUGGGGC